rnacentral:tRNA from 1 species
UUGCUCUAUGGUUCAAUGGUAGAACGGCGCACUGUUAAUGCGAUGGUUGCUGGUUCGAGUCCAGUUAGAGCAGU